rnacentral:lncRNA from 1 species
AGACAACCAACGGUUCCUGAUCAGAGUGCUGAGCUCAGAGCACCACACACAGAAACAAGCCAAGCACCCAGAAUCCCAACGGCUUCUGACUGACCCCCAGAAUGGCUGGGCAAAGUGGAAUGUGUAAAACCCUGUGAGUACUGAGAGUUAAGCCCCGGUCCUUCGGGCACCGCCUAACAGUGUUGCGUAUCGAGUCAGCCAUUCCUCCGCACAGUGAGGCCCAGCUGGGCCCCGUCUUAGCUAUACUUUUAAAUGCUGUUCUCAGUCUCCGUUUUUUCAGUUGUUCCAUGGAGAGUCCCCAAGCCUCUUUCAGGAGGAGAGAAACAGCAAUGACCUCACACGGGUGGAGCAUACAAGCUACAGCAGUGGUGCUGCGGAGGGGCGGCACGCCACGGCUGGGGUGAACCGGGGCCAUUAGCAGUCCUACUGGGAUGCUUCGUAGUAAGUUAGGGCCCUUACUGAAUGUUAACCUUCAUGCCACACUGACCGCUCAGCGCAAACCUAAACUGUAAUGGUAUGCUCCAAAGUGUACGUGAAAGACAAAUAGGUAAUACAUUAAAACAACAACAACAACAACAAC